rnacentral:misc_RNA from 1 species
UCGCGGCUUAUCACCGGCAGUCUCCUUAGAGUGCUCAACUAAAUGGUAGCAACUAAGGACGGGGGUUGCGCCCCUUGCGGGGACCACCCAUCUCUGGGCUUAGCACGGGAUGUCAAGGCCUGGUAAGGUUCUGCGCGUUGCGUCGAAUUAAACCACAUGCUCCACCGCUUGUGCGGGCCCCCGUCAAUUCCUUUGAGUUUCAACCUUGCGGCCGUACUCCCCAGGCGGGAUGCUUAAUGCGUUAGCUGCGCCACUGAUAAGCAUGCUUACCAACGGCUAGCAUCCAUCGUUUACGGCGUGGACUAC